GUUGUAUGGUUAAGUGACUAAGCGUACACGGUGGAUGCCUUGGCAGUUGGAGGCGAUGAAGGACGUACUAACUUGCGAUAAGCCUAGUCAAGCCAGUAAGAGGCGCUUGAGACUAGGAUUUCCGAAUGGGGGAACCCACCUGCUUUGCAGGUAUCGUUAACUGAAUACAUAGGUUAACGAGGCGAACGCGGAGAACUGAAACAUCUAAGUACCCGUAGGAAAAGAAAUCAACCGAGAUUCCGAAAGUAGCGGCGAGCGAAAUCGGAGCAGCCCUUAAGCUUUAAUGUAGUUAGUGGAAUAUGCUGGAAAGCAUGACGAAACAGGGUGAUAGUCCCGUACACGACAACUUAUUUAAAGUGAAAUCGAGUAGGUCGGAGCACGUGAAACUUUGACUGAAUAUGGGGGGACCAUCCUCCAAGGCUAAAUACUCCCAACUGACCGAUAGUGAACCAGUACCGUGAGGGAAAGGCGAAAAGAACCCCUGUGAGGGGAGUGAAAUAGAACCUGAAACCGUGUACGUACAAGCAGUAGGAGCCCACCACCAAAUACCUUUGUUGGGGUUCUUUAACAUCGACCUGCUUUAGCAGCCGAUGGUAAAAGACAUCUCGAAGAAAUAGAACCUUGGUGGUUCAAAUAGCAGAGCUAUUUGGGGUGGGUGACUGCGUACCUUUUGUAUAAUGGGUCAGCGACUUAUAUUCUGUAGCGAGGUUAACCAUUUAGGGGAGCCGUAGCGAAAGCGAGUCUUAACUGGGCGCUUAAGUUGCAGGGUAUAGACCCGAAACCCGGUGAUCUAGCCAUGGGCAGGUUGAAGGUUGAGUAACAUCAACUGGAGGACCGAACCCACUAACGUUGAAAAGUUAGGGGAUGACCUGUGGCUAGGAGUGAAAGGCUAAUCAAACCGGGAGAUAGCUGGUUCUCCCCGAAAUCUAUUUAGGUAGAGCCUCGGACGAAUACUUACGGGGGUAGAGCACUGUUAAGGCUAGGGGUCAUCCCGACUUACCAACCCUUUGCAAACUCCGAAUACCGUAAAGUAAUAUCCGGGAGACACACGGCGGGUGCUAACGUCCGUCGUGGAGAGGGAAACAACCCAGACCGUCAGCUAAGGUCCCAAAGUGUAUGUUAAGUGGGAAACGAUGUGGGAAGGCUAAAACAGCUAGGAGGUUGGCUUAGAAGCAGCCACCCUUUAAAGAAAGCGUAAUAGCUCACUAGUCGAGUCGGCCUGCGCGGAAGAUGUAACGGGGCUAAACAUACCACCGAAGCUACGGCUGCGAAUAUACCACCCAAACUAUUUUAAGAUUAACGUUGACGCACGAAGUGCCCAACGGUCAAGCGACCAACACGUUGAGUUGAGAAGAGAUAGUUUCGGGGUAUAUUCGCGGGGUAGGGGAGCGUUCUGUAAGUGGCUGAAGGUGUGCCGGGAGGCAUGCUGGACAUAUCAGAAGUGCGAAUGCUGACAUGAGUAACGACAAGAGGAGUGAAAAACUCCUCCGCCGGAAGACCAAGGGUUCCUAUCCCAUGUUAAUCAGGGUAGGGUGAGUCGACCCCUAAGGCGAGGCUGAAGAGCGUAGUCGAUGGGAAACGGGUUAAUAUUCCCGUACUCGGUAUGAAUGCGAUGGGGGACGGAGCAGGCUAGGCAAGCAUGGCGUUGGUUGUCCAUGUGAAAGGCUGUAGGCUGGCGACUUAGGAAAAUCCGGGUUGCUAAGGCUGAGAGUCGAGACGAGCCACUAAGGUGGUGAAGUUGUUGAUGCCCUACUUCCAGGAAAAGCCUCUAAGCUUCAGUUCAUACUGAAUCGUACCCUAAACCGACACAGGUGGUCAGGUAGAGAAUACUAAGGCGCUUGAGAGAACUCGGGUGAAGGAACUAGGCAAAAUUGUACCGUAACUUCGGGAGAAGGUACGCUCUUGUUUGUGAAAGACUUGCUCUGUAAGCAAACGAGAGCCGCAGUGACCAGGUGGCUGGGACUGUUUAUUAAAAACACAGCACUGUGCAAAAUCGUAAGAUGACGUAUACGGUGUGACACCUGCCCGGUGCCGGAAGGUUAAUUGAUGGGGUUAGCUUAGGCGAAGCUCUUGAUCGAAGCCCCGGUAAACGGCGGCCGUAACUAUAACGGUCCUAAGGUAGCGAAAUUCCUUGUCGGGUAAGUUCCGACCUGCACGAAUGGUGUAACCAUGGCCACGCUGUCUCCACCCGAGACUCAGUGAAAUUGAAAUCGCAGUGAAGAUGCUGUGUACCCGCGGCUAGACGGAAAGACCCCGUGAACCUUUACUACAGCUUGGCACUGAACAUUGACCCUACAUGUGUAGGAUAGGUGGGAGGCUUUGAAGCGCAGACGCUAGUUUGUGUGGAGCCGACCUUGAAAUACCACCCUUGUAGUGUUGAUGUUCUAACUUAGGCCCCUGAAUCGGGGUUGAGGACAGUGCCUGGUGGGUAGUUUGACUGGGGCGGUCUCCUCCCAAAGAGUAACGGAGGAGCACGAAGGUUUGCUAAGUACGGUCGGACAUCGUACGGUUAGUGUAAUGGUAGAAGCAAGCUUAACUGCGAGACAGACACGUCGAGCAGGUACGAAAGUAGGUCAUAGUGAUCCGGUGGUUCUGAAUGGAAGGGCCAUCGCUCAACGGAUAAAAGGUACUCCGGGGAUAACAGGCUGAUACCGCCCAAGAGUUCAUAUCGACGGCGGUGUUUGGCACCUCGAUGUCGGCUCAUCACAUCCUGGGGCUGAAGUCGGUCCCAAGGGUAUGGCUGUUCGCCAUUUAAAGUGGUACGCGAGCUGGGUUUAGAACGUCGUGAGACAGUUCGGUCCCUAUCUGCCGUGGGCGUUUGAGAAUUGAGAGGGGCUGCUCCUAGUACGAGAGGACCGGAGUGGACGAACCGCUGGUGUUCGGGUUGUGAUGCCAAUUGCAUUGCCCGGUAGCUACGUUCGGAAUCGAUAACCGCUGAAAGCAUCUAAGCGGGAAGCGAGCCUCGAGAUGAGUUCUCACUUUGACUUAGAGUCAACUGAAGGGCCGUUGAAGACUACAACGUUGAUAGGCGAGAUGUGGAAGUGCUGUGAGGCAUUAAGCUAACUCGUACUAAUUACCCGUGAGGCUUAACCAUACAACGCCAAAGUGGUUU
rnacentral:rRNA from 1 species